CUUCCAUACUAACAACGCAAUUCAUUUUAUACUUUAACUUAUGUACUUAAGGUUGAAUUUCCUUUGCGCGUGUCUUAAGUGGCCUUUGGGCAUAGUGACUCGUUGCGUAUAGGAAAUGGCACCCCACUUUCUUUACAAGAUAUCUCAUGAACUCAGUUCCAAUACUUCUUUCAAACACACAAGACGCGCCUAACAUAUGAUAAAAAACAUAAAAAAAGUCGGUUGGCCGAAAAACCGAUGACAGGUGUCGAAAAUUAUGAAUUAAAAAGUUUGUAAAGUUUUGGCGCGGAAUGCAGUGACAGUUGUGUUUUAUUUCGAGUGUAUUUUUUUAAUUGUUUGUGAUUUUGGAUUCUUUUUUGUUUAAGUUUUCCGUUUUUUGAGGAUAAAAUGAUAUUUCGGCGGAGAGUGGUGUGUCUCCUGCUGGUGGCGCUGGUGUCAUCGGUGGUGGCCGAGGAGACGCCUCCGGGGCUGGUGAACAAGGACAGCGACCAG